rnacentral:tRNA from 1 species
GUUAUUUUGGCAGAAAAGUGUAUUAAAUUUAGAAUUUAAGAAUGUAAUUAAUUACAAAUAAUA